UUUGGGAGCUUGCUCCCAAAUCUACAGCGGCGGACGGGUGAGUCAACACGUGGGCAACCUGCCCUGCAGAACUGGAGUGAUCAACUCCAGGGAAACCGGGAGCUAAUACCGGGUCAAUACAUCAGCAUCGCAUGAUGCAACUGUUGAAAGUUGGCCUGUUGGCUAUAACACUUGCAGAGAUUGGCGCCCGCGGCGCAUUUACGCUUAGUUUGGAUAAGGAUAACCGGCUUUACCAAGGCCAACGAAUGCGUUAGCCCGACCUGAAGAAGGGUGAUCGGCCACACGUGGGAACUGAAGAACCACGGCCCAAACUCCUACGGGAAGGCAGCAGUAGGGAAAUCUUCCGCAAUGGACAAAAUUCUGACGGACAACGCCGUCGUUGAAGUUGAUGAAGGCCUUCGGGUUCGUUAAAGUCUCUGUUUGUUAGGGAAGCACAAUUACCGUUCUCAAUUAGGGCGGUACCUUGAACGGUCACCUAACCAAAAACCACGGUUAACUACUUGCCACAGCCGGGUUAAUCACUUUAGGUGGCAAGCGUGUCCGAAAUUUAUGUGGGUCUAAAGCGCGCGCAGGCGGUCUCUUAAUUCUGAUGUGAAACCCACGGUUCAACCGUGGGAGGGGCCAUUGGAAUGGGGGAUCUUGAUUGAAAAGGGAGAUUGGAAUUUCCACUUGUUGGGUGAAUUGGUUAAUUGUGGAGAAACCAUUGGAAGGGGGUUUUGGUUGAUUAAUUGAGGGCAAGGUGGGAAAAGAUAAUUCUGUUCCUCCAAUGAGUUAGUUGAGGUCCCCUCUGUUAUUAAUAUUCCGGGAACAGGUAUAAAUAGGGC
rnacentral:rRNA from 1 species